UUAUAGGCAUCCACCAUACCGUAGGAAUCCAUCAGAUAAUUCUUCAGUGUCCAAGCAAGCAGAAGAGGAUCAUUAUACCAGGUUUAAGCAGUCCUCUUCUUCCCUCGAUGUUGAUAUUGGUUCUGGAGCUGGUGAUCAAGAGCCAUAUGGUCAGAUAGUGCACCCAAAAAUAAAUAAAAACUCAAGCUUAGGAACCCCAGUUCCACAUUCUGAUGCCAGUGAUGAUGAGUCAGAUGAGGAACU
rnacentral:misc_RNA from 1 species